AUUGAUGCUUAUAAUAAUAUUCUGUUUCAAUGUUCAUGAUAUAAUGAAUCAUGAUUAUUAUUUUUUCUGUAAUAAUUUACAGUAUACUAUCCAAGUUAUUCCUUAAUUCCAGAAAAACUAAGGAGAUUGCUCGAGCCAUUUAGGAAAAAAUCUUUUCAAAAAAUUAUUUAUUUAUCAUUUUUAAUCUCAAGAUUUAUAAUUUAAUUUAUAUAAAAAAAUUAGAUAUAUUUAUUUCUAUUUUUUUAUCUAUAUAUAAUUAUCUGCAACAGAAUGAUUCUGAAUAGAUUAAUAUUUAAUUUUAUUAUUAUAUUACAGUAUUUCGCGAUGUCCACGUCCAAACGUUAGCCCAAAUACCAUUUUCUCCAAUUUCGCUGACCACUCAUUUCAUCUUCUAUUCCACAGAGUCGAGCCUGUUUUUCUUUCCGGUUCGAAGUUCUGGUUCCGCAACUACGUGACUGGAAUCUGGCCUUGCCAUUGACACGUCAUUCUUUCCCAGUCGCUGGAACCGGAAGUUCUCUAACCUGGAUUACUCGCGAGACCCCUCUAACUCGCUACAGCUUCAUCGAAUCCAUUGAGCGCACAUCGACUUCUCUGUUUUACCAGCAGCUUGUAUUCCUUUUUUCCCUUCUUCAUCAUCGAUGGACGUAAAAAGAGUGCGGAAUAACGUCUGAAUCAGGUCCUUACGACGUUUUACGACUUUGUCCCUUGAAUUACGAUCGGUGCAAAAAUAGGGAUCUUGAGAGGAACAAGUCAGGAACGAGUCAGCUUCUUUUACAGAAAUUUUAAUGAUUUUAAUAAUGUAUUCUGAUAUUUUUACUUCUCUACCUUAUUUUAAUUUAGAGAAUUGUGGAAUAUUGGUAAGGAUAAAUAAUUGAAAUUACAGAUUGAUUAUUGAAAAGUAGAGUCUUUGAUUUAGUUCGAAGUUUAUCAUAUCGUAAGGAAAAAUUUACUUUGCCAAUAUUUUUUGCAUUAUUAUUAUUUACCAUGAGGAUUAUAAAGAAUUCACAGUGCAAAUUCGAAAUUCCAUUUGAAAAUACAUUCUAAGAAGAAAGCACGACUUUUAAAAUAAAUUUUUCAACAUCUUUUUACUAUCUUAAUCUAAUUCUUGUUUGACAAAACCGAGUGACUUUUGAUUCAGAUAGUAUAAAUAAUAUUAAAUCUGUUUUAUAGUCGACGUUAAUAAAAUUCUAACAAAAUUGCGAAAUUAAAAUUAUAAAAUUUUUCAACAAAAAAUACACAUCACAUUAAAGCUCACUUUUCAGUCCUCCAGACCAAUUAACCGAGUGGUACGUGACGAAAAUAUAAAUCGCGAUGUAUUCCAAGCCUCAAGCUAGGUUUCGCGGCGAUAAGCCGGUCGACAUACUAGAAUAAUAUAUCAAAGUCCGCGAAAAUGCGGAUCGCAGCAUGGUUGUGCAAUUAUUUCGCAAUGAAUCAGCUUGAUCAACGUUUACCCCUGUAGUCUCUCUGUAAAUACAUCGUCGUUGCAUUGUCUCGCGAAACAGUCAUUAUAAUGAGGCUAAUAAGAUCCCGGUGGGGAGCACGACUCGGUAAAUCAUUGUUAUCAAGAAGGAAUUUUGUAGAGGAAGCACCGAACGCGCGUGUAUAAAUUCGCGUGACGUUUAACCGCGUGCGCGCGCAUCCUAAACCCGAGUCGUAAGUUUCGGUUAAUUAUGGCGGCAGUAGUUAAGCCGGGCUACAUUGUGGGUUACUGAUAAGUAGAGAUCGAGAAACUAGUGAAGGAAAUUUUGCAGUGAGGAAAUAACGGUUCUUUAAUUUCUUCAUGAGAAUUUAUGAUCAUUAUAGAAUAAAAAAUUCUCAUGACGCUCAUGUUUGCAUCGAAUACGUUACACUUGAACAAGAUGAGAAUAUUUUAACAUUUUUUUUAUUGCGUAUAAAUAAAACUUGCAUAAGUGUGAUCAAAUUUACAUACCAACUGCAUAACCAACAAGCAACGUAUGAAAUUCAAUCAAUUUCGACUAAAUGUCUCGAAGGAUGUUUGUCGAAUUUGUAAUUUUGUCGCAUCGAAGGGAACAUACAUCACGUGACGUAAGGAUUAAUCGAGCUCGUAGAGGACAUGCGACAUCGUUCCGCCAUUUGCCGUAAAUAAUUCGAAGCUGGUGAGCCGGGUUCCACGCGAUUUAACCCUUCUCAGUGUAGAGGUUGGGACGUGCAUCUCGUGACACGACAACAAUGCUAAUAGAAUCAUGAAAAUAUUGUAUCUCGUUCGUGAAAUAAACGAAAACCUAUUUAAUCGUCCCUGGAAUAUUUUUUCAUUUUUUAUAUACAAAAAAAAUUGAAUAAUAUUAUAUUUUAUACAGAAUACAGAAUUAAUCAUAAUUUAUAAAUUCAUGAAAAAUUCGAAAUAAAAAGAAAUCUAAAUCAGAAAUUUAAAAUUAAAAAUGUGAGAAAUAAAUUUUGGAAAAUAUAAAGGAUAACGAGCGUCGACGAGAUCCAUGACGAAAUUGUUGGAAAGAUGGGGAUGUUGUCCCCUAUUUGGACAACUUGCUAUCGACAGAGCGUGGCAAAAUAGGGGUAGUUUGUCCGGGAAAUCCACCCGAAUCCACGUCGUUUCUUCUUCGAUCCUCUAAUUUUCUUGAUUUAUCCUUUAAAAAACGUCUCCUCAUAUUUUCGCGGAUUUAUUAUCGAAAAAGAAAUUCGAUAAAAAUCAAGAAAAAUUAAAAAAUUUCGUUCGAAACGAAAAAAAAGGAAAAAAAUUCAUUUAUUUUUGCGAAUUUUAUUAUUAUUAUUUAUUAACGAGCAAGUCCUCCGAUAUAAAUCUAACCUAUUUAUAAUUUCAGUAUACAACAUUCUAACAUCUGGAUACGACGUACCCAUUUCCUUUCGUAUCUCUUGUUACAAACUCAGUUGGGCAGUUGGAGAGAAGCAGGAGAGUUUGCGGAGAAAGGAGAAGGCGCGAGGAAAAAUAUUUACCUGUUUGUUCGAUGUAGAAGGAAGGAAAACAAACGGAGAAAUUAACGACACGACUUUCCGUCCAAUCUUUUCAUCGAUUUACUUUUUGAAAAUAGUAGUUAGAAUGGAUAGUGAUCAUGGAAGAAACGUCUCGCUUCUUUUUCGCCAGAUUUCGAAGAAACAAUGGAACAUGAAUGAAAAAGGCAACGAGAUUACCCGUUAACCUAGUUUCCACUAAAACUGGGCCACAGGCCAUUUUCUAUGAGAACACGUUUCACAGUAUUUUAUUAUUACGUUUAUCAUUGAAUUCUUUGGAUCGUGUACAGUCAAUCGCAAAAGAUUUGGAUUCAGCUAGCUUGAGAAAGCCUGUACGAACGUGGAAUAUAUUGAGAUAUGCAUGGCUGAUUUGUGAAAUCAAUCUUUGGAUUUUAUCAUAUGGUCUCAGCUCAGAUAGAAUAUUAUAAUAUUGGAUAUUACAAAGUUAUAUUUUAAGAAACGAAGAUAAUAAAACUUCAAAAAGUUAAAAUCUUUAUUGGAACGAAGACUGUAAAAAGAAACUGGAACAAUCAUAUACGAUCUUGCGUUGGUGAAAAGUUAGGUUAUUUUGUCAUGCUGUCUCAGCUCAGAACGAAGAUAAUGAAACUUCAAAAAUUUAAAACUUGGAAAGUGAUAAUGAAGACUACUACUAGUGUAAAAAGAAACUGGAAAAAUCACGUACGAUAAAAUCUUGACUCGAAAAGUUAGGUUAGAUUAGAAGCGUAUCUUGGAACAUCGAAAGGUUAAACAUGACUGGCGCUUUAGAAAUUAUCAAUCGUACGUAUGGAAGUAUCAUCACGUGGUCGGUUAGAAUGGAUCGACGUAUGAAAAGCCACGAAUAAUUAAACUCCAAUUAACGUAGCACGCCCCAACGAGGCGAAACGAAACGAGAGAAAUGAAAUACCUUCGCAUUCGUUUCACGUUUCAACGGGAACCCACGGUUCAACUUACGGUUGCACCCUCUCUCCAACAACCCUUGCCCUGGUGCACACGAUACUAAACGCCGUUUUAUCGAUCUCGCCAUGUUUCCCAUUACCGCAAAACCGCCGCCAACAUAAAGCAACCACGUUUCCUCUUAUUGUCUCCACGCGACCGUCCGACAACCGCCAUGGAAAACACCCUACGCGAUUAUAAAUGCGACACUGGCUGCCUUAAUAUUCGCACGUGUUACGGAUUAAACGAAGUGAAGGGGAAUUCACGACUCUUGGCAGGAGUGGUGGAGAAAACGAGAUAUUUUUGCGUAUAUAGAGGAUGUCUUGAAAGGUAUUACUGUGAAAAGUAAAAAUAAAAAGAGGUAGAUAGAGCAAUGAAGGGAUGUUAACUGCUAACAAUUUCGAAGAAAUGUUUUUUUGACGAGACGUGUACUAGAGAGAUUUGAAGACGUAGAAUAAAUGAAGACGUUGAUGGAAGGUAAUUUACGCGUCUGGAAAUUCUAUAGGAUGCCACGUUCUCAUUGAAAAUCGUUGCUAGAUUACGGAAUUAAUCUGGCAUUCAUUGACAAACAAAUUACCAACUAUUAUUAUCAACGAUACUACUCCAUAUUGCAUUAUUGUUCAAUAUUUACUUGACAGAUUUCCAAUUUACAAUUCUAUUACCAGAAAAUUAUAAAUUUAAUACAAGAAAUAAAUUUGUUCGGAAAUUUUAUCAUUCGAAGACUAAAAUUAUAAAUGUAUAAUUUUAAUAAGUUUGGAAUAUCCAUAUAAGGAUUAAAAUUACUAUUCU